rnacentral:rRNA from 1 species
CCCAAACCAAUAAAGUUUUCUUUAUUGGGGUUGCGGACAUAUCAUAACGAAGAGGUAUCGUAAUUGAAGAGGUUUGGAAAGACCCACCACAGAAGGUAAUAGUCCUGUAUGUUAAACGAGAAGACUUUAGAUAUGAUCCAGAGUACCACGGGACACGUGAAACCCUGUGGGAAGCAGGAGGGACCACCCUCAAAGGCUAAAUACUACCUAGUGACCGAUAGCGUAUAGUACCGUGAGGGAAAGGUGAAAAGAACCCCGGGAGGGGAGUGAAAUAGAACCUGAAACCCUGCACUUACAAGCUGUGGAAGCACAUUUCUUG